GCACAUAACAAGCUUGUGCGUGAAUCGAACCCUAUCAAAAGCUGUUGACCAUCAAUCUCGUCAAUCAGACGAAUCUCGAGGCCAAGAGACUACGGAUGGUGUUAGAUUCACGCACAAGCUCGCUAUAUGUCA
rnacentral:pre_miRNA from 1 species